rnacentral:rRNA from 1 species
CGUAGGGGGCAAGCGUUGUCCGGAUUUAUUGGGCGUAAAGCGCUCGCAGGUGGUCCGUUGCGUCGUGCGUGAAAGGCCCCGGCUCAACUGGGGAGGGUCGUGCGAUACCGGCGGACUGGAGGCCAGUAGGGGGAUGCGGAAUUCCGGGUGUAGUGGUGGAAUGCGUAGAGAUCCGGAGGAACACCAGCGGCGAAGGCGGCAUCCUGGACUGGUCCUGACACUCAGGAGCGAAAGCGUGGGGAGCGAUCCGGAUUAGAUACCCGGGUAGUCCACGCCGUAAACGAUGAGCACUAGGUGUCGGGGGUAUCGACCCCCUCGGUGCCGCAGCUAACGCGAUAAGUGCUCCGCCUGGGGACUACGGCCGCAAGGCUA